UACGUAGGGUGCAAGCGUUGUCCGGAAUUAUUGGGCGUAAAGAGCUCGUAGGCGGUCUGUCGCGUCGGCUGUGAAAACCCGGGGCUCAACCCCGGGCCUGCAGUCGAUACGGGCAGACUAGAGUGCGGUAGGGGAGACUGGAAUUCCUGGUGUAGCGGUGAAAUGCGCAGAUAUCAGGAGGAACACCGGUGGCGAAGGCGGGUCUCUGGGCCGUAACUGACGCUAAGGAGCGAAAGCGUGGGGAGCGAACAGG
rnacentral:rRNA from 1 species